AAUAUAGUGUCGCAAAAUCGACUUUGACAGUAUAUCACUUCUAAAUUAUCAAGUUAAUUAGUGAAAUGGGAACGAUGAAAUAACAACACAAUGAUAAAACAAAAAUAUUCAUAGAUCACACACUAAAAACUGAUCCAAAAUAGAUGCCACAUGAUAUCGUUUCAUAUAGCAGAGUGUGUCAAACUAGAUCCGAAGAUCAACGUAAAUCAAUAGCUGAACCCUAGUUGUCUGCAUCGUAUAAUGCCAUUGAAUGACAUCGCGUAUGGUUCAGCUACCGAUGUACGACGACACCACACACACACACACACACGCGCGCGCGCGCGCGAGCGCGCACAGAGACAACUAAUAGUUCCAGAGGUGGUUGCACCCCAAUUUUAUGAUUUAUCACAUUUUACAGAAUUAUAAUACUUCAUAUGUUCAUUACGCUUACAUCUUAUACAAUGUAUCUCGUAACUGAAGAUACAACCGAAGAGAAGAUGAUAUUAUAUGAGAAGAUAAAUUGAGAACAUGCAACAAGGUUUUUCCACUCAGAGGUAUGUUUUUAAGAAAAUUAACUUCAAAUAUUUGAUUGAUAAGUGUAUAUCAAUGUGGACUUUAUCUCGUAUCUAACCUUCACUCUCACUUCGAAAUCGUAUGUUUCAUUCACAAAAGUGAAGGCAUGAUUUAACAUUUUACAAGAGUAAGAACUUCCGAAAUUACUCUAACCACGCAGAGAAACUAACUCUCUCUUGCGAUAAAUUCAAAACAUAGCGAUAUAUAAGUGUGUACAUGUAUCUGCAUUUUGUAGAUAUACUAUCAUUUCACCGUUCCCAUUUCGCGCAUUAUUCUGAUAAAGGAAACGAAUUUUUGCGUCUAUAUAUUAUACAAUUAUAAGAAAUAUUUAUAUGCCAUUCGUUAAAUUUGGACAAUCAACACAUCACUGAAUGAUACGCAAUGAUGAAAAUACAUAUAGGAUAAAUGGAUACCGGUCUUUAAUGACGGCUCAGCUUAAUUUGCAUGCGGAUAUACAGCAUACAAUAACGAUUGGGUAGAAAUAGGAGUAAGAACAUGAUUCGUGAUAUUUUUCGUGCAAUUGAUUUGUCAAACGUCAAUAAAGCUUUAUUGAGUACAGAAUCCAUGACAAAGAAAAAUGUAGGUACCUCCACUUCUAAUAUAUGCAUGUAUAUGUUUUAUAUAUACAUUUAUACAUUUAUACAUAAGAUCUCGUUCGAAUGGAAUAUUCAAACUAGUAAAAGUUACAAUAGGGUAUUCUAUGGUUUUCAUUUGCUUGAAAAAUGAAACAACAACUGUUCUCAAUAAUUAUCUUACAAUAAUUUAUAUAUGUC